UACGUAGGGUGCAAGCGUUGUCCGGAAUUAUUGGGCGUAAAGAGCUCGUAGGCGGUUUGUCGCGUCGGCUGUGAAAACUCGGGGCUCAACCCCGAGCCUGCAGUCGAUACGGGCAGACUAGAGUGCUGUAGGGGAGACUGGAAUUCCUGGUGUAGCGGUGAAAUGCGCAGAUAUCAGGAAGAACACCCGUGGCGAAGGCGGUUCUCUGGGACGGUACUGACGCUGAGACGCGAAAGCGUGGGGAGCGAACAGG
rnacentral:rRNA from 1 species